UACAGAGGUCCCGAGCGUUGUUCGGAUUCAUUGGGCGUAAAGGGUGUGUAGGUGGCGCCGUAAGUCGGGUGUGAAAUCUCGGAGCUUAACUCCGAAACUGCAUUCGAUACUGCCGUGCUUGAGGACUGGAGAGGAGACUGGAAUUUACGGUGUAGCGGUGAAAUGCGUAGAUAUCGUAAGGAAGACCAGUGGCGAAGGCGGGUCUCUGGACAGUUCCUGACGCUGAGGCACGAAGGUCAGGGGAGCAAACGGG
rnacentral:rRNA from 1 species